CAGCGCGGGGCAACCUGGCGGCGAGCGGCGAACGGGUGAGUAAUGCAUCGGAACAUGUCCAUGUCGUGGGGGAUAGCCCGGCGAAAGCCGGAUUAAUACCGCAUACGCCCGAGAGGGGAAAGUGGGGGACCGCAAGGCCUCACGCGAUUGGGUUGGCCGAUGUCCGAUUAGCUAGUUGGCGGGGUAAGAGCCCACCAAGGCGAUGAUCGGUAGCUGGUCUGAGAGGAUGAUCAGCCACACUGGGACUGAGACACGGCCCAGACUCCUACGGGAGGCAGCAGUGGGGAAUUUUGGACAAUGGGGGCAACCCUGAUCCAGCCAUUCCGCGUGAGUGAAGAAGGCCUUCGGGUUGUAAAGCUCUUUUGUCCGGAACGAAACGGGUAGGUCUAAUAAGCCUGCCUACUGACGGUACCGGAAGAAUAAGCACCGGCUAACUACGUGCCAGCAGCCGCGGUAAUACGUAGGGUGCGAGCGUUAAUCGGAAUUACUGGGCGUAAAGCGUGCGCAGGCGGUUUUGUAAGCCAGAUGUGAAAUCCCCGGGCUUAACCUGGGAAUGGCAUUUGGGACUGCAAGGCUUGAGUGCGGCAGAGGAGACUGGAAUUCCUGGUGUAGCAGUGAAAUGCGUAGAUAUCAGGAGGAAUACCGAUGGCGAAGGCAGGUCUCUGGGCUGACACUGACGCUCAUGCACGAAAGCGUGGGGAGCAAACAGGAUUAGAUACCCUGGUAGUCCACGCCCUAAACGAUGUCGACUGGUUGUUGGGGGGUUUGACACUCUCAGUAACGAAGCUAA
rnacentral:rRNA from 1 species